UAUAUCAUAUAUAGAUUUUGUAUUGUUAAUCAUCAAAAAAGGAUUUUGUAUUGUUAGAAAUGGCCAUCCUCCUACGUGCCUCCAAAUUGAUGUCAUUUGCUGUUCUUUUAGCAAUACUUUUACUGCUUAUGUCCUCCACGCUGGGAAGUGCUGCCCAACCACUCGGGCGAAAACUUUUCCAAUAUCCUAGUGGCAGAGGAUAUGGAUAUGCUGAAGGUGGAUCAAUAUAUAAAAAAUAUCCUGGUGGUGGAGGAUAUCGAAAAAGACCAUGAAAAUCAUUAACCACACCAAGGGGCCGGGAAAUAAUUACCAACAGAACUGCUCUGUUGCUGAAAUUAAUAUUGGAGAUGUUAAUUCAGUUAUUUCUUACGAAUGAUAAAAAAAAUUACUUUUAUAUGUCUGUGUCAGUACUAGGAUGAUAAUAUAUACGUCGUCAUGUACUUUUUUUUAUAGGUAAAAUAAUAAUAUAUUUAAGAGAA